rnacentral:rRNA from 1 species
UACGUAGGGCGCAAGCGUUGUCCGGAAUUAUUGGGCGUAAAGAGCUCGUAGGCGGCUUGUCACGUCGGGUGUGAAAGCCCGGGGCUUAACCCCGGGUCUGCAUUCGAUACGGGCAGGCUAGAGUGUGGUAGGGGAGAUCGGAAUUCCUGGUGUAGCGGUGAAAUGCGUAGAUAUCGGAAGGAACACCAGUGGCGAAAGCGGCUUCCUGGUCAAGCAUCGACGUUCAGGCACGAAAGCGUGGGGAGAAAACAGG